CGUGACCCUUUUUGUCCCUCAUCGCUUCCUGUUCAACGCGGAACUAAAGUCGUGGUCGUUCAAACAUGUCUGAAUUCAGCAGCAGCUUCAAACAUGUGUCGCAUGUCAUCUUCGACAUGGAUGGACUAUUACUAGACACAGAGCGACUUUACACUGUGUCCUUCCAGGAGAUCUGCGACCGCUUCGGGAAGCAGUACACGUGGGAUGUGAAGUCUUCAGUGAUGGGUAAAAAGGCUCUGGAUGCUGCCCAGAUCAUCCGGGAUACUCUGGAGCUGCCCAUGACGGCCGAGGAGCUCCUCGCUGAGAGCAGGCGGAUACAGCAGAAUAUCUUUCCCACAGCCAAACUCAUGCCAGGCGUGCACAGGCUCGUGCACCACCUGCUCCGGCACGACGUGCCCGUCGCCGUGGCGACCAGCUCCGAGGGCGCCACCUUCCGGCUGAAGACCAGCCAGCACGCCGGCUUCUUCGGCCUCUUCCACCACGUGGUGCUGGGCGACGACCCUGAGGUGAAGCGCGGGAAGCCGCAGCCGGACUCCUUCCUGGUGUGCGCCAGCAGAUUCACGCCCCCGGCUGCUCCGGAGCAGUGCUUGGUGUUUGAAGACGCUCCCAACGGCGUGAAGGCGGCGCUGGCCGCGGGCAUGCAGGUCGUGAUGAUCCCCGACGACAACCUGGACCCCGGCCUCACCCGGGGGGCCACGCUGCGACUGCGGAGCAUGGAGGAGUUCGAGCCGCAGCUCUUCGGCCUGCCAGCGUUCGACUGAGGCCACAGCACGUCAUUCAGUCGUUGUCCUGACGCCAUUCCCGUUCUUGGGAGGAAACGGUGAUGAGUGAGGUGGAAGAACGGGCUGAUUGCUGCAGCUCUCACCGCAUUGGCUGAAUACUGGUGGUAUUUUGUGGGUGCCAACUUUUCCAGUCAGAUUAGACAUUAUUUUUAUUGUACUCUUAAUCAUCAAUCAUGACUCUAUGAAAUCUGAUCCAACCGUCCCGACCCAACACAAUGCUGAUUUCCUGGACCGGGUGAUGGCACCAGCCUUAGCUCCACCCAGAUCUAACGUAACAUCACCAGCUUCUGGUUUACUGACCACACAUGGUCCCGGGGUACGCGAGACCCCUACACUUAAUUUAUGCUUUACUGCACAUUUUAUCACAAGGUACGUUAACUGGUCACCAUCACCUCUUAAUAAAACCUAAAACUGAAAUGCUUUCAUGCUGCUCCCAUUUGAUAAGCUCUGUUGUAAAAUUCAAACUGUAUGUUUAUAAAGUGUCAGUUAUUUACACUUGUCUCAAACAAAUGGAAUUGUGCUGUAGCUCAGGAACAAGCCUCCGCUGUCACCGGCCAUCUUAAACUGUCCGUCAUCAGGUUCCCAAAGCAGGCUGCAAAAUGUUGAGGUUGAUUGAUGCUCUUCAUUUCAGGAGCAUUCAGUGACUGUUUCGGUGAAUCGCUCGGACCCAUUGAACACUCACGUUUGUUUUUUUUUUCCUCAACCGAGUCCCGUGUGUCGUCGUAAGUGUGUUCAAGGCAGAUACGUUUGGCUGGGAGUUGAUGGCAGAUGGGCCCAGAGACGCUGCUGCAGCACCGCUCCUCUAAUCCAGCAGAGAGCAAGGUCGUUGUGCUCACUUUCACGCCCGCCCGUGUCUUCCAGCCUCUGCGGCCUCUGGUGGAUCAGGCUGAAGCCGGGCUCUGCCGCCCCUCGGGCUGCUCAAAUGGGAUUUCACUGUGCUCUCUUCCACUUCCCCUCCAUGCUGCCCUGGCCUUUCAUCCUCUACAUGGGGGUAAUCUCCUCAGCGAUGGAUCCGAUCCCUCCAGUUUGUGGACCGUGACGCUGCUGUAGCUGUAGCGAAGCUUCAAGUUAAAGCCUCCGCGCAGACACUUCUGAAACACGGAGGAGAACAGACAGUGUUGUUCCAGCGCAUAAUCCUGAGAUGAAAGUGUCUUGGAACAAAAGACCGGACAUAUUAAUGUGGCGAGAUGGAUGAACCGAGCGGGGCAGCCUCUGACAUGCAUGAGUGAUCAUCCCGGCCUCGAGCCGACUGAAUGCGCUCACCCUCCGUGACACAAACAACAUUUACAGAGCCGACUGUGGCUGCUGGACAAAUCAAGACGUUUAUGGUUUACGCUCGGAGCAAUAAAUACUGUAAAUGACGCGCAUUCAUAACAUCAACGCGCAAGUGAAAAUAUAGCUUACUUUAAAGACCAAUGCACAUUUAAAAAUGUCUUUAAACGACAUAUACAUGUAAAACAAAACACACAGCACUGAAAACUAUGAGUCAAGUUUUCAGGUUAGUGGCUUCUUGCUUUACCUUAUGAGUAAAAGCCUUUACUGUACAUGUAAAGUACCUGCUGCCUUCUGAUGACAGACUGAACAUGUUAGCGUGAGCUGGUUGAGAUGAAAAGGUUAAAGAACACAGACAGAUCAGGGGAGUGAAAAGGCCUAAUGAUGAUAUUAACACGAUGGAAGUCGUCAGCUGAUCGAGUUCGUCUCAUCGCUGCAAUGUAAAUAAAAGUCAUACUGAAACUA